AGGACGAACGCUGGCGGCGUGCUAACACAUGCAAGUCGAACGGGGAUAGUUGGUAGAGAGCUUCGGCAGGAUACCGGUUAAUUCGAGUGGCGGACGGGUGAGUAACGCGUGAGCAACCUGUCCCAGACAGGGGGAUAACACUUGGAAACAGGUGCUAAUACCGCAUAAGACCACGGUAGGACAUCCUACAGGGGUAAAAGGAGCAAUCCGGUUUGGGGUGGGCUCGCGUCCGAUUAGAUAGUUGGUGAGGUAACGGCCCACCAAGUCGACGAUCGGUAGCCGACCUGAGAGGGUGAUCGGCCACAUUGGAACUGAGAGACGGUCCAAACUCCUACGGGAGGCAGCAGUGGGGAAUAUUGGGCAAUGGGCGAAAGCCUGACCCAGCAACGCCGCGUGAGUGAAGAAGGCCUUCGGGUUGUAAAGCUCUGUUAUAGUUGGCGAAGGAAGUGACGGUAGGCUAUAAGGAAGCCCCGGCUAACUACGUGCCAGCCGCUGC
rnacentral:rRNA from 1 species